CAGCCUGAUGCAGCAAUGCCGCGUGAGUGAUGAAGGCCUUCGGGUUGUAAACCUCUUUUGUCCGGGACGAAAAUGCCUCUCCUAAUACGAGAGGCCCCUGACGGUUCCGUAACAAUAAGCCCCGGCUUACUACAUGCCAGCAGCCGCGGUAAUUA
rnacentral:rRNA from 1 species